UAAAAUUUUUCAACAAAUUUUUUAUGAUACUUGUACAAAAUAUAUCAUAAAAAAUUUGUUGAAAAAUUUUAAUAAAACCCACUAGCAUACUUCUAUACAAUUUAUGGCUUAAAGACAUUCUGCCACAAAAAAAAAACCUAUACCUUGAUAACCUAAUGAACUUGUAAUAUUACAUGGUUUCAUGAGCUAAUGCCAUCUUCCCAUGAUAUCACUUCUCUUUAUUCUUCCAUAAUCAACAACCAGAAGCAUCUUGUGACUCAUGUAAAAAUUCUUAAGCGUGUCGAUAUAGGCUCUCGGCACAAAGGACAAAUUGAAAUGGUUGCAGCACAAUCCUUGCAAGUCAUAUGACCGCAUCCAAAGGCCAUGUCUUUUGGGUUUGUCAAGCAAAUGGGACACACCGGUUCUACUGGAGCUGUUGGUUCAACUGCAUCAAAAUUUUUUAUGAUUGGGAUUGAUUUAACAGCAUUAUCAUGAUCAACCACUUCACGUGGAGGAGGAAGAGGCCUUGUACGAGGAUGAGGCCUCGCCUGUGCUAAACUUGAUUCUCUAUUCAUGUAAUUAAGCCUUUGAGUGGCUCUGUACUGGAAUGGAAUUUCCAUAAGGGCAGCAAGUGCAAAGGCUGUUUCUUUCUUUGAUAUUUGUGUGUUCUCAGACAUGAUUUUUGUAAAGUUGACAAACUGGAAGUUAUCAAAUGCACGUUGAGGAAUGUUAUCAUCAAAUUGUUCCAUUGCAUCCCAUGGUCCAUCCCCAACUCCAACCAAAAUUAUUGACAGAGGAUAUUGGCUAGCAGCAACAAUGGACUUCACAGUCGCUUGCUCUUGCGGACUGUAACUCCCAGGUGGAAUAUCAGGACUCCUAGUAACCUGCCCAUCAGCAAUGAUAACAAGGACAUGAUAUUGUCCAGUGCUGUUUUCUACAAUGUCAAUUGCUGCAUCAAUAAUUGGAGCAAAUG
rnacentral:misc_RNA from 1 species